rnacentral:lncRNA from 1 species
UGAUCUAGAGUUUCUUGUGAGUCUGUUUGCUCUACUGUCAUGUUCUAUUCUAGUUUCUGCACAUUGCAUUACAUAGCUGUUCUUGAUUGAGAAGCAUUUUCACUCUGGAUUUCUGGAAAUUUGAAAGAGGUUUGUGUGCUUGGUAGCAUCUUAGGUGGUGGUUGUCUAAAAGACUAUCCAGCCUUGAACUGACAAGGGAGAAUAUCCCUUCCAAACCUU